rnacentral:tRNA from 1 species
GGGGAAUUAGCUCAACUGGUAGAGCACUUGCUUAGCAUGCGAGAGGUAGUAGGAUCGAUACCAGCAUUCUCCA